rnacentral:rRNA from 1 species
UCGACGAACUUCCGUUAAUUGAUUAUGACGUGCUUGCACUGAAUGAGAUUUUAACACGAAGUGAGUGGCGGACGGGUGAGUAACACGUGGGUAACCUGCCCAGAAGCAGGGGAUAACACCUGGAAACAGAUGCUAAUACCGUAUAACAGAGAAAACCGCCUGGUUUUCUUUUAAAAGAUGGCUCUGCUAUCACUUCUGGAUGGACCCGCGGCGCAUUAGCUAGUUGGUGAGGUAACGGCUCACCAAGGCGAUGAUGCGUAGCCGACCUGAGAGGGUAAUCGGCCACAUUGGGACUGAGACACGGCCCAGACUCCUACGGGAGGCAGCAGUAGGGAAUCUUCCACAAUGGACGCAAGUCUGAUGGAGCAACGCCGCGUGAGUGAAGAAGGGUUUCGGCUCGUAAAGCUCUGUUGUUAAAGAAGAACGUGGGUGAGAGUAACUGUUCACCCAGUGACGGUAUUUAACCAGAAAGCCACGGCUAACUACGUGCCAGCAGCCGCGGUAAUACGUAGGUGGCAAGCGUUAUCCGGAUUUAUUGGGCGUAAAGCGAGCGCAGGCGGUCUUUUAAGUCUAAUGUGAAAGCCUUCGGCUCAACCGAAGAAGUGCAUUGGAAACUGGGAGACUUGAGUGCAGAAGAGGACAGUGGAACUCCAUGUGUAGCGGUGAAAUGCGUAGAUAUAUGGAAGAACACCAGUGGCGAAGGCGGCUGUCUGGUCUGUAACUGACGCUGAGGCUCGAAAGCAUGGGUAGCGAACAGGAUUAGAUACCCUGGUAGUCCAUGCCGUAAACGAUGAUUACUAAGUGUUGGAGGGUUUCCGCCCUUCAGUGCUGCAGCUAACGCAUUAAGUAAUCCGCCUGGGGAGUACGACCGCAAGGUUGAAACUCAAAAGAAUUGACGGGGGCCCGCACAAGCGGUGGAGCAUGUGGUUUAAUUCGAAGCUACGCGAAGAACCUUACCAGGUCUUGACAUCUUCUGCCAACCUAAGAGAUUAGGCGUUCCCUUCGGGGACAGAAUGACAGGUGGUGCAUGGUUGUCGUCAGCUCGUGUCGUGAGAUGUUGGGUUAAGUCCCGCAACGAGCGCAACCCUUAUUACUAGUUGCCAGCAUUCAGUUGGGCACUCUAGUGAGACUGCCGGUGACAAACCGGAGGAAGGUGGGGACGACGUCAAAUCAUCAUGCCCCUUAUGACCUGGGCUACACACGUGCUACAAUGGAUGGUACAACGAGUCGCGAAACCGCGAGGUUUAGCUAAUCUCUUAAAACCAUUCUCAGUUCGGACUGUAGGCUGCAACUCGCCUACACGAAGUCGGAAUCGCUAGUAAUCGCGGAUCAGCAUGCCGCGGUGAAUACGUUCCCGGGCCUUGUACACACCGCCCGUCACACCAUGAGAGUUUGUAACACCCAAAGCCGGUGGGGUAA